UACAGAGGGUGCGAGCGUUAAUCGGAAUUACUGGGCGUAAAGCGUGCGUAGACGGUUAUUUAAGUCGGGUGUGAAAGCCCCGGGCUCAACCUGGGAAUUGCAUUCGAGACUGAAUAGCUAGGGUACGGUAGAGGGUAGUGGAAUUCCCGGUGUAGCAGUGAAAUGCGUAGAGAUCGGGAGGAACAUCCGUGGCGAAGGCGGCUACCUGGACCAGCACUGACACUGAGGCACGAAAGCGUGGGGAGCAAACAGG
rnacentral:rRNA from 1 species